rnacentral:lncRNA from 1 species
UCUUUUACUACUUCUUUAAGUUCAACCUCGAACUUUUUUAUAACAGGUGUAAUUUUGGUCUUUAUCCUUUAUGCUUAACCUAUCCAAAUGCAAAAUCGUGUCAUUUGGGGUUUCAUUCCAUGAACCAAUUCAUGUUGGCCAGACGAGAUUUCUCACCUUAGUCCCUUCGCAAGAAAAUCCUUCAUCCAUACCAAAUUUGAGGCUAUAUGGUUAAUCAUGCAAUUUUUUGAGUUUGCUGAAACACAGUUUCAUGCAGCAUCCUAUAUCUCUUAAGCAAUACCCUAUAGUAAUUCCCCUCAAUUAAUUUUAAUAAUUAUGUGGCCUCCACGUGAAGUUAACAUAAACCCAACCUUGCAACAUUCAGCAUCCAUAUGACAGUGUAAAAAGCACCAAAGCCUCCAUGUGUAGCUGGAUUAAUUUAAAGAUCAUACAAACGAAAAACGACCUUGAAUUAUUAGUUUAAAAAAUUAAUAUAUUGAAACCUUAAUUCAAAAUUAUAAUGAGAAAACACAUUAUACUGUAAACAAUACUUCCUUGAACUUACUUAUUCAUUCACAUGAAUUGUAGAAUAUCAAAAUACCGUUGCGUUCAUCCCCAAUUAAAAUACUACUAGCAUUUUAUGACAACAAACAUCCUAACAAAGACUAUACAGAAAAUCAAUUCCUUAUAAUUUUAAUUAGAAAAGUCAAAAGCAAAAAAACACCCAGUCACCCACAAUUCAGAAAUCAAGAAUACUCGUUUCAAAAUUCAAAGGCUGGAAUCAAAGCAAAUCUUAAAAAGUAAAAAAAUUAAUAUAAGAAAAAACAUGAAAUUAGAAUUUCAAAGCCUUGAGUAAAUUCAUGAAAAGGCAUAUUAAAUAUUUAUACCCAUAAGGCUAUAACUCACAAAUGUAAAAAAAAAAAAAAAAAAAAAAAAACCUCAAAUCUAAAUCAAUAAUAAAAUGAAUGAAGCCUCAGUGUCUUAGUGUUUGGAAGUUAAUCCUUCCAUUCAUCUCAAUAUCAUUACAAGCCUACGAAAGACAUCAUUGGCAGUGGCAACAAUUUCCCGAAACAGGAAAGGAGUUGAAAUACGAUAAAACGAUUCAUUGAAAAACAAAAAUUCACAAUUUUUCACCUUUUUAUGAAAAUCAAUUAGAGAACACGUCGAAAAUAAUUAAAUUCACUAAAACAGAAGAGAAACUAAAACAUCAAAAGUCAACAAAUUGGGAACGAACGAAAACUAUACCGAGAGCGGAAAGAGGAACGAACGAGAACAAAGGAUGAUCGCAAGCUUCG